GGCACUAUAGCCAAGUGGUUAAGGCGACAGAUUAGAAUCUGAUAAAGACAAUCGAUCUGUUACUCUUUGAGUGCGCAGGUUCAAAUCCUGCUGGUGUCG